rnacentral:rRNA from 1 species
CGCUGGCGGCGUGCUUAACACAUGCAAGUCGAACGGAGAUGCUAUGUGAGCGGAAGAUGCUUGCAUCCAACAAUCUUAUAGCAUCUUAGUGGCGGACGGGUGAGUAACGCGUGAGGAACCUGCCUUUCAGAGGGGGACAACAGUUGGAAACGACUGCUAAUACCGCAUAACGCGUAGAGAUCGCAUGGUCUUUACGCCAAAGAUUUAUCGCUGAAAGAUGGCCUCGCGUCUGAUUAGCUAGUUGGUGAGGUAACGGCCCACCAAGGCGACGAUCAGUAGCCGGACUGAGAGGUUGAACGGCCACAUUGGGACUGAGAUACGGCCCAGACUCCUACGGGAGGCAGCAGUGGGGAAUAUUGGGCAAUGGGCGCAAGCCUGACCCAGCAACGCCGCGUGAAGGAAGAAGGCUUUCGGGUUGUAAACUUCUUUUGUCAGGGACGAGCAGAAGACGGUACCUGACGAAUAAGCCACGGCUAACUACGUG